UCCGGAGGAUGCAAGCGUUAUCCGGCAUGAUUGGGCGUAAAGCGUCCGCAGGUGGCUAUGUAAGUCUGCUGUUAAAGAGUGAGGCUCAACCUCAUAAGAGCAGUGGAAACUACAUGGCUAGAGUGCGUUCGGGGCAGAGGGAAUUCCUGGUGUAGCGGUGAAAUGCGUAGAUAUCAGGAAGAACACCGGUGGCGAAAGCGCUCUGCUAGGCCGCAACUGACACUGAGGCGCGAAAGCUAGGGGAGCGAACAGG
rnacentral:rRNA from 1 species